UCCCUGGUAGCUCAGAUGGUAAAGAAUCUGCCUGCAAUGCAGGAGACUUAGGUUCAAUCCCUGGGUUGGGAA
rfam:Ovis aries breed Texel chromosome 4, whole genome shotgun sequence.